UAUCUAAAUACAUAUGGGUAUGAUAUCUAAAUACAUAUGGGUAUGAUAUCUAAAUACAUAUGGGUAUGAUAUCUCACAGUAGGGACGGAUGUUGUGUUGUUAAACUCCUAACAAUGAUAUCUCACUGACAUGCACUACUGGUCAAACGUUUUAGAACACCUACUCAUUCAAGAGUUUUUCUUUAUUUUUUAAAAACUAUUUUCUGCAUUAUAGAAUAAUAGUGAUCAAAACUACAAAAUAACACAUGGAAUCAUGUAGUAACCAAAAAGUGUUAAACAAAUCAAAAUAUAUUUUAUAUUUGAGAUUCUUCAAAGUAGCCACCCUUUACCUUGAAGCUUCUGUGCACACUCUUGGCAUUCUCUCAAUUUCAGUUAACAAGUGUACCUUCUUAAAAGUUAAUUUGUGGAAUUUCUUUCCUUCUUAAUGUUUUUGAGCCAAUCAGUUGUGUUGUAUCAAGGUAGGGGUGUAUAGAGAAGAUAGCCCUUUAUGGUAAAAGACCAAUGGCAAAAUGGCAAACAUAGCUCAAAUAAACAAAGAAAAAUGAUUGUCCAUCAUUACUUUGACAUGAAGGUCAGUCAAUACGGAAAAUUGUAAUAAGUUUUAAAAUUUCUUCAAGUGCACUCUCAAAAACCAUCAAGCGCUAUGAUGAAACUGUCUCUCAUGAGGACCGCCACAGGAAUGGAAGACCCAGGGUUACCUCUACUGUAGAGGAAAUGUUCAUUAGCGUUACCAGCCUCAGAAAUUGCAGCCCAAAUUAAUUCUUCACAGAGUUUAAGUAACAGACACAUCUCAACAUCAAUUGUUCAGAGGAGACUGUGAAUCAGGCCUUCGUAGUCAAUUUGCUGCAAAGAAACCAUAAAUAAGAAAUACUAAAGGACAUCAAUAUGAAGAAGAGACUUGCUUGGGCCAAGAAACACGAGCAAUGGACAUUAGAGCAGUGGAAAUCUGUCCAUUGGUCUGAUGAGUCCAAAUGUGAGAUUUUUGUUUCCAACAGCCGUGUCUUUGUGAGAUGCGGUGAGGGUGAACGGAUGAUCUCAGCAUGUGUAUUUCCCACCGUGAAGCAUGGAGGAGGAGGUGUGAUGGUGUGGGGGUGCUUUGCUGGUGACACUGUCUGUGAUUUAUUUAGAAUUCAAGGCACACUUAACCAGCAUGGCCACCACAGCAUUCUGUAGCGAUACGCCAUCCCAUCUGGUUUGGGCUUAUCAUUUGUUUUUCAACAGGACAAUGACACACCUCCAGUAGGUGUUCUAACACUUUUGGUCAGUAGUGUGUACAGCGGGGUCAGAAAUGAUUGAUACCCUUGAUAAAGAUGAGCGAUACUGACUGUAUAAAAUAAAUUAUUCAAAUACCGAGCUAUGUUGCCUUCAGAAAGUAUUCACACCCCUUGACUUUUUUCUGAUUUUGUUGUGUUACAGCCUGAAUUUAAAAUGGAUUAAAUGCUUUAGAUUUUGUAAAAAAAAAACUGUAACUGUAAUCCAUUACUUUACCAGCAAAAAUCAGAUUCCAGAUUCUUUUGAAAAACUAAAUGAUUACUUUUAAAUUCAGAAAGGAUGUUUGCAAAAAUAAAAUCCUUGAUCCUUCUCGGUUUUCUCAAUGACAUUCAAAUCAGUGUUGAAAAAAGGCUCAAGCUUAAAUUUGUUCAAUGUGAACGAGUCUGACCAUAAUUCAGAGACAACUAUGAUUACACACCAAAUGUGUUUGAUGGAUCGUGGGAAAAGAGCAGGAACAGGCUUUUGUAGGCUACAGUCCAAGCUAUGUCUUCCAUUGUAGGUCCUGUAAGGACGACAGCAGUGGUUAUAUGUAACCACUUAUCAUUGAUAUCUACUUAUUGCAUUGAUGUGAAUCACACUGCUGCUCUCUCAUUUUGCGCCUUACGGAUUGUGGUUGUUCUGGACGGCUGUUUACAUAUCGACUUGGGUAUUUGGAACCAAUAAUGUUGAAUUCAAGAGGUUUAAGCUGCCUAUCAAUCAUUGUAUUUGAAACCAAUGUGCUCUUGGAACAGCUGCAUGGUGCAGAUCCCAGACGAUGGAAUAAAGCAGGGCUUUUAUUGCUCAAUCUAAUUUAUGCUGAUGACAAAAAUGUAUCCAUAAUCCUAAUGGACACAUUUUGAUAGACUUAAAGUGGCAAUCUGUUGCUACAUCCAUUUUUUGACUUAUACAUUAUAUAUAUAUAUAUAUUUAUAUAUAUAUAUUUAUAUAUAUAUAUAUAUAUAUAUAUAUAUAUAUAUAUAUAUCCAUUGAUUCUUGAAGAAUAUAAUUUAUAAAUGCCUCAUGAGCUAACUGUCACAUAGUCACACUCCAUGAGAACCCAAAAUAUAAGGUUGUUUUUCUCCACUGAUUUAAACAUUGUAAAUGUUUAUUAUAUUAUUAUUAUUAUAAAUAUUAUUAACUUUUAUUUCUUAUUCUUACAUUUUUGUAGGUAUUUAAAAAUAUAUAUGUUUAACUGCAUUGUUUGUGAGAGCUACACCUGUUGUUUUCAGCAUUUCACUGUGAGGUCUACUACACCUGUUGUAUUCAGCAUUUCACUGUAAGGUCUACUACACCUGUUGUAUUCUGCGCAGGUGAGAAAUACAAUUUGAUUUGAUAUUUCCAAUUCUUGAAGAUCAACGUUUGUUGUAAUGACUGGAGUUCUGAUAACUUUGGUUUUUAAAGAUAUCAUUUAUAAUAAUUUUUAAAGAUAUAAUUUCAUCAUAUUAUAAUGAAUAUCAUUAUCAUAAAUAACAGAGUAGGGCUGGCUAAUAAGUCCUUAAUUCUGGGGUCAUGCUCAGGUAAAACAAUUUGGCUAAUCUAUACUUCCAUUUUUCCACGUCUAAUUCCUGAAGAUCAAGGGGUAUUACAAUGACUGGAAUUCUGAUGACUUUGGUUUUUAUUGUAAAGAUAGAAUUUCAUCAUAUUAUAAUGUAGUAGAAAGCGAUAGGUUAGAGGAAGCCUACAUAACCAACCCAUAAAGUACAAUGUAACAUCCAUAUAUGGCCAACUAUGUAAACUUUAACAUGGAUUUAUACUGCAAUAGAUGUGGUUCAAUUGGUAACCUACGUUGCCAUCUUCCUCUAACGCCUCUUAAAGGGGAAAGUAAUCUAAAGGUAACUGAAUGUAAUCAGAUUACAUUACUGAUUUUGGUAAUCCAACAGUUACUGAUUACUAUUUUGAACAGGUAAUUAGUUACUGUAAUGGAUUACAUUUCGAAAGUAACCCUCUCAACCCUGACUGGCCAACACACAAUACCCCAUAAUGUCAAAG
ensembl:lncRNA